CCUGUGGACUGUUAUAUCAAAUGUUAGUAGGGUGUGCAAACACUACGAGGACAGACAGGGCGAAGCAGGAA
rnacentral:sRNA from 12 species